AUCCAGCUGAUGAGUCCCAAUUAAGACGAAACACGCGUCCUGAAU
rfam:Schistosoma mattheei strain Denwood, Zambia genome assembly, scaffold: SMTD_scaffold0002582